UGCCUCUGGGACGCUGACCUGCACAGGCUGCCUGACCAAAUUCACUCCUUAAUGUCCACAACAAUAGGAACUGGUAAGACAGGGAGAGGGAACAGUAGUCCUAAGCACCAGGAGCCAGAAGUGAGUAGUGCAACUGGAGCACUCAAAGGCAGAAGUGGUCAUUAAUGGCCACCACUGCCGGUGUUACAGACAGAAGAAAAUAUGUUAAAAUAGACCUUAUAUUUUAUUUCUAGGUCAUGUUUAUUUCUAGAAAGUGAGCUGGGUAUGAACCAAUGGCCAGGUGGGCAUGAACCAAUGAACCACGUUCAAGACAUGAUAGGGGAAAAUCUCUUGCCUGUGACCACUACUACACAACUACAUUUUCCCCUGCUAGAUCCAACCUGCUCAUCACUAAACUUACAAAUAUCAUUUAAGUUUUCUCUUUGGACUGAGCAAUAAUAAAUCUUUGUUUUAUCUUA
rnacentral:antisense_RNA from 1 species